rnacentral:rRNA from 1 species
AUUGAACGCUGGCGGCAUGCUUUACACAUGCAAGUCGAACGGCAGCGCGGGCUUCGGCCUGGCGGCGAGUGGCGAACGGGUGAGUAAUGCAUCGGAACGUGCCCAGUAGUGGGGGAUAGCCCUGCGAAAGCCGGAUUAAUACCGCAUACGACCUGAGGGUGAAGGCGGGGGACCGAAAGGCCUCGCGCUAUUGGAGCGGCCGAUGUCGGAUUAGCUAGUUGGUGGGGUAAAGGCUUACCAAGGCGACGAUCCGUAGCUGGUCUGAGAGGACGACCAGCCACACUGGGACUGAGACACGGCCCAGACUCCUACGGGAGGCAGCAGUGGGGAAUUUUGGACAAUGGGGGCAACCCUGAUCCAGCCAUGCCGCGUGCGGGAAGAAGGCCUUCGGGUUGUAAACCGCUUUUGUUCGGGAAGAAAUCCUCUGGGCUAAUACCCCGGGGGGAUGACGGUACCGGAAGAAUAAGCACCGGCUAACUACGUG